GACGAACGCUGGCGGCGUGCUUAACACAUGCAAGUCGAGCGGUAAGGCCCUUUCGGGGGUACACGAGCGGCGAACGGGUGAGUAACACGUGGGUGACCUGCCCUUAGCUCUGGGAUAAGCCUGGGAAACUGGGUCUAAUACCGGAUAUGACUCCAUGACGCAUGUUGUGGGGUGAAAGCCUUGUGCGGCUAGGGAUGGGCCCGCGGCCUAUCAGCUUGUUGGUGGGGUGAUGGCCUACCAAGGCGACGACGGGUAGCCGGCCUGAGAGGGCGACCGGCCACACUGGGACUGAGACACGGCCCAGACUCCACGGGAGGCAGCAGUGGGAAUCUUGCGCAAUGGCGAAAGCCUGACGCAGCGACGCCGCGUGGGGAUGACAGCC
rnacentral:rRNA from 1 species